rnacentral:lncRNA from 1 species
AUUCAGCCUGCAUCGCUCAGACUGAAACGCACUGUGCUAAUGAGGAAGAGAGCUGAAUGCCACGAAAUCCCCGCUGUACUGGUUCUAAAAACAGCUGGAUGCCCUGAAAGAUGAAGGUGGACACGGGAGGCAAACAGCCAGAAGGCUUCACCCACAGAUGACAGAUCUUUUCUAGCAUCGAAGAGGACUGAGCUUUUCCAGGGUCCCAUUCUAGCCUCUGGACCUGAGUCUUGGCAGCACUGACUGGUUACCUGCAAGCCACACAGUCAUCCCUUAACCUAUCACUGAAGUCAAAGAGAUGUGAUCUCCCGAUUGAUUGGCUUGGCCAGGUCACAUGCUCACCUCUGAGGUUGAAGUGAGGUGAGGUCUGCAGUUACUGUUAGAGAGAUUCCUGCAACAUUUCUGGAAGCCCCAGUGAGAUCUCCUUCUCCAUGGCCCCAUGGUAGAGACGGGCUGCUGCUCCCUGGUCUCUGAGAACACUAAAGUCUUCUGGAACUGAGAAGCACAAGGGGACUGCGGGACCAAGACCUGGAGUCUCUGGGAAACAUACAUCCUAAACAGGACUUCAGGGUCCUCUCCCAGUGGACAAGGGGACUGCGGGACCAAGACCUGGAGUCUCUGGGAAGCACACAUCCUAAACAGGACUUCAGGGUCCUCUCCCAGUGGACAAGGGGACUGCGGGACCAAGACCUGGAGUCUCUGGGAAGCACACAUCCUAAACAGGACUUCGGGGUCCUCUCCCAGUGGACAAGGGGACUGUGGGACCAAGACCUGGAGUCUCUGAGCGGAAGACCAGAUGAGACUGGGCUGGAUGUCCAGGCCAGGUAAAGACAAAAAAGGGAGAUAGGCAGGAAGAGCCAGCAAUGGCUAGAUCGCCUUGCAGGAUAUUAUAUCUGGAGCCUUGAAGGGAUACUCAGGUAGCACCGGUCCCCAAGGAAAAGGCCUUGAUGAGAUACUCAGGUGGAUUAGUCUUGGAAGAAAUAGACAGACUAAGCAUUUAAAAGGGGGAUGUAUAACUUCUAAGUGAAUGGUGAAUGACUGUGUAGGUGACUGUAAUGCUCCCGCAGCUCCGUGGCUACAGAAUUUGAUUGGGCCUCAACCUCAGAUCGGCUGAAGCCCUUUCAAAUGAACAGGCACUCCCACUCACAAUAGGAGGUGACCAAGUACAAGGUUAUACAUGUGGCUCUAAGGAAAGACCUCUGAAAUUGCCACAUGGUGUCUGGCCAGGCAGAUGCCUGCUUGAGGGAGAAGCUGGUCUCCACCUCACCCUAUUACUACACAGGGUUAGGCACACAUAAACUCCCCCAGUUUCCAGAUAGGGAAUUUUUCUCACCAUGGGAUUUGUAAAAUCCUGAUGUGAAACUCACACAAUCCUGCAAAGACCUUUGUGAUGGUUUGUAUAUCCUUGGACCAGGGAG